CUUUCCCUGGCUGGGCACUAUGCAGGCAAGGGGCCAGAUGUGGGGCUGCUAGAAGGAUGGGAGCUGGAGAAUGGAAGUCCCUCACAGGGCAGAACUCAAAGCCUAUAAAACAGGAGGGCAAAAGAAAGGAGGGGUGAAAAAAAAGGGAAAGAAAGCAAGCUGAUAAUUUCCUCGAAGGCUCCACUCACAGACUUGCCUGGUGGGACAGAGUGAGCAGGAGGUUCCUUUUGCCCUGGGCUGGCAUCAGAUGUGCUACUAGAACGGCGAAGGGUCACCUGGGGCCCCUGUGCCUGUGGCCAUCACGGGACAUGCCUCUAAGAAGAUGCCAAGAGGAGAUUCCAUCCCCAGACCAUCUGUAGUGGAUUACAUGACAUGAGCACACACCUGGAAGCUCCCAUGCCUGUAGGUUGGCUGCCAAACCUCAUCUAUCUGGAGAGGAAACUGAGCCCCCCCCCAAGACGAUUAUCGCCAGAUAGAAAGUGGAAGCAAGAUUUUCUAACCCUCGGAAAGAUUUCUUUGUUCUCUACUUGGAUGAAGACGGGAUACUGGCCUGGAGAAAAAGAGACCAGGAAGAUAAGAGCUACAUCCCCUGUUCCCCAGGAAGAUAAGAGCUGCAUCCCCAGUCCACUUGGUUUUAUUGUGUCCUUGCAAUCAGAACAACACAAUUAAGGACUUAAUAAUAA